GCUCAGCAAGGGAUAGAUCGUCAUCAUCAUCAUGGUAAUCAGUUGUUGCUUCUCAAUUAAACAGCUGAAUGACACAAACCGUUAUGAAGGAUUCUUGAAGCUGAUAUAAAGGAUAGUUUAAGAAAACCAUAUUAAUCCAGAGUCCAUGAUGACUGACAUGGCAGCUCCAGCUACUCAGAAAGCAGAAGUUUGAAGAACUUUUAUUAGUAAUGGGUGCUUACAAGCAGCUGUUUACUUCAUGGCUUUACUGUUGCAAGGAUUAUUCCCCAGUCUGGUGAAUCAGAAUCUGAUACUUCAACUGGAAUAUAGAUUUACAUUAUAGAAAUUACUGUAUGGAACAUACACAGCAAGCUUUGGGAACAUAGCCCUCCUCAUCACAACGAUCUUGUUGAGUUUUAGAGUACCUGGAUGAGGCCCUACCAUUAGAUGUAUGGAAAAAAGUUGCCCGGAAGAAUUCUCCAGCCAGCUGCAUGAAACUUCAUAAGGCUGGGUCGCUCUGUCAAUCUAUCAUGGCUGUUACUUGAGUGACUUGAUGCUGUUAGCUGUUGCAGGCCACUUAAAAAGCUUUAAGGCCCGUCCACACGGCCAAGCUUUGCUCGACGAACUUUGUUCGAUGUGACGUCAGAAGCGGAGAAACUGCGGCAAGUUCUGACUUUUCUCGCAGUUUCUCCGCUUCUGAAGUUACAUCGGACUCAGUUCGUCGACCAAAGCUCGACCGUGUGGACGGGGCCUUAAGACAAGGAAACAGGCAAUGCUGGACAUAACAUGCACUUGCCAUGUCGUGGAGGAUACUUUCGGACUGUACAAAGAGGCUUUUUUAUAGCAAGAAAAAUCAAAUUUUUUAAAGUGGCGUAUUUAUUAAACUGGUAGGUUUCAUCACAUUUCAGUUAUACAGUACAAUUUGUAAGGGAGCAAUGUUCGGAUUGAACGGAGAGGACUUUGGUCUUUUUAUAAGAACAAUUAGUUAUUGAUUGUUGUAUUUAUCGGGUAGUUUUCAUCACGUUUCUAUUAUGCAGUACCAUUUGUAAGGGAGCAGUGUAAUGAUUUAUCAAUAAAAGAUAGAUUAAAA